GACAUUCACACAGUCCACUCUACUAUGGGUCUAACAGUGUAGAGGACAUUCACACAGUCCCCUCUACUAUGGGUCUAACAGGGGAGUGGACAUUCACACAGUCCCCUCUACUAUGGGUCUAACAGGGGAGUGGACAUUCACACAGUCCCCUCUACUAUGGGUCUAACAGGGGAGUGGACAUUCACACAUCCCCUCUACUAUGGGUCUAACAGGGGAGUGGACAUUCACACAGUCCCUCUGCUAUGGAGUCAAACAGGGGAGUGGACAUUCACACAGUUCCUCUUCUAUGCAGUCAAACAGGGGAGAGGACAUUCACACAGUCCCCUCUACUAUGGGUCUAACAGGGGAGUGGACAUUCACACAGUCCCUCUACUAUGGAGUCAAACAGGGGAGAGGACAUUCACACAGUCCCCUCUACUAUGGGGUCUAACAGGGGAGUGGACAUUCUCACAGUCCCUCUACUAUGAGUCUAACAGGGGAGUGGACAUUCUCACAGUCCCUCUACUAUGAGUCUAACAGGGGAGUGGACAUUCUCACAGUCCCUCUACUAUGAGUCUAACAGGGGAGUGGACAUUCACACAGUCCCUCUACUAUGGGUCUAACAGGGGAGAGGACAUUCACACAGUCCCUCUGCUAUGUGUCUAACAGUGUAGAGGACAUUCACACAGUCCCUCUACUAUGGAUCAAACAGGGGAGUGGACAUUCACACAGUCCCCUCUACUAUGGGUCAAACAGAGGAGUGGACAUUCACACAAGCUUCCCACAAUAAGUUGGGGGAAUUUUGGCCCAUUCCUCCUGACAGAGCUGGUGUAACUGAGUCAGGUUUGUAGGCCUCCUUGCUCGCACACGCUUUUUCAGUUCUGCCCACAAUUUUUUAUGGGAUUGAGGUCAGGGCAUUGUGAUGGCCACUCCAAUACCUUGACGUUGUUGUCCUUAAGCCAUUUUGCCACAACUUUGGAAGUAUGCUUGGGGUCAUUGUCCAUUUGGAAGACUCAUUUGCAACCAAGCUUUAACUUCCUGAACAAUGUCUUGAGAUGUUGCUUCAAUAUAUCCACAUAAUUGUCCUGCCUCAUGAUGCCAUCUAUUUUGUGAAGUGCACCAGUCCCUCCUGCAGCAAAGCACCCCCACAACAUGAUGCUGCCACCCCCGUGCUUCACGGUUGGGAUGGUGUUCUUUGGCUUGCAAGCCUCCCCCUUUUUCCUCCAAACAUAACGAUGGUCUUUAUGGCCAAACAGUUCUAUUUUUGUUUCAUCAGACCAGAGGACAAUUCUCCGAAAAGUACAAUCUUUGUCCCCAUGUACAAUUACAAACCGUAGUCUGGCUUUUUUUUGGCGGUUUUAGAGCAGUGGCUUCUUCCUUGCUGAGCGGCCAUUCAGGUUAUGUCAAUAUUGGACUCGUUUUACUGUGGAUAUAGAUACUGUUGUACCUGUUUCCUCCAGCAUCUUCACAAGGUCUUUUGCUGUUGUUCUGGGAUUGAUUUGCACUUUUUCACACCAAAGUACGUUCAUCUCUAGGAGACAGAACGCGUCUCCUUCCUGAGCCGUAUGAUGGCUGCGUGGUCCCAUGGUGUUUAUACUUGCGUACUAUUGUUUGUACAGAUGAACGUGGUACCUUCAGGCAUUUUGAAAUUGCUCCCAAGGAUGAACCAGACUUGUGGAGGUCUACAAAUGUAUUUCUGAGGUCUUGGCUGAGUUCUUUUGAUUUUCCCAUGAUGUCAAGCAAAGAGGCACUGAGUUUGAAGGUAGGCCUUGAAAUACAUCCAUAGGUACACCUCCAAUUGACUCAAAUGAUGUCAAUUAGCCUAUCAGAAGCUUCUAAAGCCAUGACAUAAUUUUCUGGAAUUUUCCAAGCUGUUAAAAGGCACAGUCAACUUAGUGUAUGUAAACUUCUGACCCACUGGAAUUGUGAUACAGUGAACUAUAAGUGAAAUAAUCUGUCUGUAAACAAUUGUUGGAACAAUUACUUGUGUCAUGCACAAAGUAGAUGUCCUAACUGACUUGCCAAAACUAUAAUUUGUUAACAAGAAAUUUGUGGAGUGGUUGAAAAAUAAGUUUUAAUGACUCCAACCUAAGUGUAUGUAAACUUCUGACUUCAACUGUAUCUAUACUGAUGUGUCUCUGAGGUGUUGUACUAAAGAGGAAAACCAGUGGAUUGUGUUGAGAUGCAGUCAGUUCUACUGUAGUAGGCCUCAGAUAGACUCUUCCUCUGGGGAUAACCUAGCAGUUUUAGGAGACCUCCCCCUCCCUUUUACCCACCUUCACUUCCCUAUCCCCACCAGGAGAGCCCCGGAACAGAGCCCCGGAACAGAGCCCCGGAACAGAGCCCCGGAACAGAGCCCCGGAACAGAGCCCCGGAACAGAGCCCCGGAACAGAGCCCCGGAACAGAGCCCCGGAACAGAGCCCCGGAACAGAGCCCCGGAACAGAGCCCCGGAACAGAGCCCCGGAACAGAGCCCAGGUUCAGAGCCCAGGUUCAGAGCCCCGGAACAGAGCCCCGGAACAGAGCCCCGGAACAGAGCCCAGGUUCAGAGCCCAGGAACAGAGCCCAGGAACAGAGCCCAGGAACAGAGCCCAGGAACAGAGCCCAGGAACAGAGGAAAGAGGAAUAGAGGAAAGGAUAGAUGGAUAGAGGAAGGAUAGAGGAGAGGAAAGAGGGAUAGAUGAGAGGAAAGAAGGAUAGAGGAGAGGAAAGAGGGAUAGAGGAGAGGAAAGACGGAUAGGGGAGAGGAAAGAGGGAUAGAGGAGAGGAAAGAAGGAUAGAGGAGAGGAAAGAGGACCACUUGUCUGUCCCACCAACAACCCAAAAUGAUUUCACAAAAAGACUUGGAACCCCUUUUCACAAUUGUCCCUACAUUGUCCCCCUCCUCACCCCUCUCCCUCCUCCUACCCCAGCCCCCUUCCCUCUCCUCCACAGCUGCCCCUACCUCUCCUCUCCUCUGACUCUCCGUUGUGGAUGAAAGGCCCAUCAAAAGUAUCACUGGCUGCAUUUACAAGUGAAUGAGGCCUAAUAAUGGAGCAGUUAGGGGGAGAAUGGGCCGAGUCCCGGGAAGGCUCACAGAUGUUGGUGUUGCUGGAGAGGGAAGGAGGGAGGGACAGAAGGAGAGAGGGAAUAAAGGAAAGAGGGGUGCUCCAAUGCCAUUGUUACUGAGGAAAGACUGGAAGGAGAGAGAGGAGAGGAGAGUGGGUGAGCGGGCUGUUUUAUACCCGAUUUGCAUCGGAGAAGGACGGGGGGAGUGUGUUGGCCAAAGUGAGGGGCCAAGGCAACCAGACAGGCAAGGAGGGCUGUAGGGAGUGAGGGACGGAGGGACGUAGGGAGUGAGGGAAGGAGGGACGUAGUGAGUGAGUCUGCCUCGUGGUAGGUCUGGAUACUGGCUGUCUCCGGGUUUAGUCUGGAUACUGGCUGGGUAGAUCUGGAUACUGGCUGCCUCCGGGUUUAGUCUGGAUACUGGCUGGGUAGGUCUGGAUACUGGCUGCUUCCGGGUACGUCUGGAUACAGGCUGCCUCCAGGUACGUCUGGAUACUGGCUGGGUAGAUCUGGAUACUGGCUGCCUCCGGGUUUAGUCUGGAUACUGGCUGGGUAGGUCUGGAUACUGGCUGCUUCCGGGUACGUCUGGAUACUGGCUGUCUCCGGGUUUAGUCUGGAUACUGGCUGGGUAGGUCUGGAUACUGGCUGCUUCCGGGUACGUCUGGAUACUGGCUGCCUCCAGGUACGUCUGGAUACUGGCUGCCUCCGGGUAUGUCUGGAUACUGGCUGCCUCCGGGUAUGUCUGGAUACUGGCUGCCUCCGGGUACGUCUGGAUACUGGCUGCCUCCGGGUACGUCUGGAUACUGGCUGCCUCCGGGUACGUCUGGAUACUGGCUGCCUCCGGGUACGUCUGGAUACUGGCUGCCUCCGGGUAGGUCUGGAUAACUGGUUACCUACAGGUAGGUCUGGAUACCUGGCUUCCUCCAGGUAGGUCUGGAUACCUGGCUACCUCCAGGUAGGUCUGGAUACCUGGCUACCUCCAGGCAGGUCUGGAUACUGGCUACCUCCAGGUAGUUCUGGAUACUGGCUGCCUCCAGGUAGGUUUGGAUACUGGCUGCCUCCAGGUAGGUCUGGAUACUGGCUACCUCCAGGUAGGUCUGUAUAAUGGCUUUCCCAGGGUAGGUCUGGAUACUAGCUGCCUACGGGUAGGUCUGUAUAAUGGCUGUCCCAUGGUAGAUCUGGAUACUAGCUGUCUACGGGUAGGUCCGGAGACUGGCUGCCUCCGGGUAGGUCAGGAGACUGGCUGCCUCGUGGUAGGUCUGGAUACUGGCUGCCUCGUGGUAGGUCUGGAUACUGGCUGCCUCGUGGUAGGUCUGGAUACUGGCUGCCUCCGGGUAGGUCUGGAUACUGGCUGCCUCCGGGUAGGUCUGGAUACUGGCUGCCUCCGGGUAGGUUUGGAUACUGGCUGCCUCCAGGUAUGUCUGGAUACUGGCUGCCUCCGGGUACGUCUGGAUACUGGCUGCCUCUGGGUACGUCUGAAUACUAGCUGCCUCUGGAUACGUCUGGAUACUGGCUGGGUAGGUCUGGACACGGGCUGCCUCUGGGUAGGUCUGGAUACUGGCUGCCUUCAAGUAGGUCUGGAUACCUGGCUACCUCCAGGUAGGUCUGGAUACCUGGCUACCUCCAGGUAGGUCUGGAUACCUGGCUACCUCCAGGUAGGUCUGGAUACUGGCUGCCUUCAGGUAGGUCUGGAUACCUGGCUACCUCCAGGUAGGUCUGGAUACCUGGCUACCUCCAGGUAGGUCUGGAUACCUGGCUACCUCCAGGUAGGUCUGGAUACCUGGCUACCUCCAGGUAGGUCUGGAUACUGGCUACUUCCAGGUAGGUCUGGAUACUGGCUGCCUCCAGGUAGGUCUGGAUACUGGCUACGUCCAGGUAGGUCUGGAUACUGGCUACCUCCAGGUAGGUCUGGAUACUGGCUGCCUCCAGGUAGGUCUGGAUACUGGCUCCCUCCAGGUAGGCCUGGAUACUGGCUCCCUCCAGGUAGGUCUGGAUACUGGCUACCUCCAGGUAGGCCUGGAUACUGGCUACCUCCAGGUAGGGGUCAUAAGAGCGGUAAGACACACCCCCUUCUCCCUUUUCACUGGCAUUAGGAAGAAAGGGAGGAGAUAUAUUAAACUAAUGAAGUCCUCUACGCACGUGACAGUUUAGUUUUGUUUAGUGACAUGGAAGAUGAAGAGAAAGGAGAUCAGAGGACGGCAGAAUUACUAUAUCGCUCAUCACUCACUGGAUUUAGCGUGUUCUAAACCGUUGUCAUGACGUUGGCCUCUUUGAGUACAGGGAGGACAGUUGACCCCCUCCCCCUUGCACCAUCCCCCAACCUACCUUCCCCCACCCAGUCCCUGUGUGAAGGAGUGGUAAAAUUCCAGAGAAGAGUCUCUGGCCACAUGGCCCAUAGAGAGACACAGGAAAUUCUUCCAACUCACAGAAUUGGGGAGCCAAGCGACAUUUGUGUUCUGGAGAAGGUAUGAAAGAUUGGUGCAGAAUCCAGCUACGAACUGGUCCGCUUGGUACAAUUUUGUGAUACUCAGAAGAGACAAUAUAGCCAUAUUACCAUAAAACUGUUUAUAUAAUAGCCUCAGCCUUGAGACUUGCAUCCACAUGGUUGUAUAGAAUGUAUUAAUAAGGAUAAAGCUAUUUGUAAUACAUUGAGAUGCUAUGUACUGAUGUUAAUGUGAUAGAAUUCUAUUUCUGUACCGAGCUUAACUCAGUCAUCGGCACGCCCCCAGGGACAUAGACAGGACCAGGUGUCAUGUGACAAGCUGUUCUAUGUCACUAUAAAACCCACCCUGAUUUACAUUUCUCCAGACCCGGCCUCCACUCCAUUGCGAGUUGGCCAAUAGGUUUGACCAUCCAAGUAUUCUACUGAAAGUGAACUAUACCACGUGGUUAACUUUUAGACUAUUGAUACCGACAGAAUAAGAACAAGUCUUUGAUAUUAAUUAUUAGUCUGCAGCUAAGUAAAUUAUAUCAUUGAACGCGAAGACCAACGAAACAUCCAUUCUAUGACGACAUUAAUGAAUGUCGCUUUGAAAGAUCCAUUCUAACCGAGAGAGAGAGAGAGAGAGAACUCUCCAACCGAACGACGCUUCAACAAGGAUCCCGACGACACACUGAGCGUAAAUAUAUAUUGAUUGCAAUUGUUCCCGAAUGAGUGAGCGUUCAAUUGUCAAUUGUUAAUAUUAAUGAACUCUGUGUACCUCCUCAGCUGAACAUUUUAUGACCCAUUGUUCUACAAGACACCAGCCAUGCCUGUUUAGACCACUAGGGCACAUUACUCUACCAAUUCUUUGUGAUGAUAAUUACUGUUUGUAUACUUAAUGUGAAUUACUUAGUUUAGUAAAUAAAUGAUUUUAAGACAA
rnacentral:lncRNA from 1 species